rnacentral:pre_miRNA from 9 species
ACUCGAUUUCGUAAAAGUUAACUCAAAUUUGUAUGGAGUUGAAACGUUUGCCUACGUUUACCACUAGGGGCGCUAGGGGCGCAGUUCCAAUUGCAUACAAAUUUGAGUUAACUUUUACGCUAUCGA